AGCAGCCGCGGUAAUUCCAGCUCCAAUAGCGUAUAUUAAAGUUGUUGCAGUUAAAAAGCUCGUAGUUGAAUUUCAGGCCUGGCCGGACGGUCCGCCCUUCGGGUGAGUACUGUCUGUGGUCGGGUCCUACCUUCUGGCGAAGCGUCAUGGCCUUAACCGGCCGUGGCGGGGAACCAGGACUUUUACUGUGAAAAAAUUAGAGUGUUCAAAGCAGGCAAUCGCUUGGAUACAUUAGCAUGGAAUAAUGGAAUAGGACAAUGGUUCUAUUUGUUGGUUUCUAGGACCGUUGUAAUGAUUAAUAGGGAUAGUUGGGGGCAUUAGUAUUCAAUUGUCAGAGGUGAAAUUCUUGGAUUUAUUGAAGACUAACUACUGCGAAAGCAUUUGCCAAGGAUGUUUUCAUUAAUCAAGAACGAAAGUUAGGGGAUCGAAGACGAUCAGAUACCGUCGUAGUCUUAACCAUAAACUAUGCCGACUAGGAAUCGGGCGAUGUUGAAAAAAUGACGC
rnacentral:rRNA from 1 species